UACGUAUGGGGCAAGCGUUAUCCGGAUUUACUGGGUGUAAAGGGAGCGCAGGCGGCCUGGCAAGCCUGAUGUGAAAUACCGGGGCCCAACCCCGGGGCUGCAUUGGGAACUGCCAGGCUGGAGUGCAGGAGAGGUAAGUGGAAUUCCUAGUGUAGCGGUGAAAUGCGUAGAUAUUAGGAGGAACACCAGUGGCGAAGGCGGCUUACUGGACUGUAACUGACGUUGAGGCUCGAAAGCAUGGGGAGCGAACAGG
rnacentral:rRNA from 1 species